rnacentral:rRNA from 1 species
AGCGAACGCUGGCGGCAGGCCUAACACAUGCAAGUCGAACGAAGUCUUCGGACUUAGUGGCGGACGGGUGAGUAACACGUGGGAACGUACCUUUUGGUUCGGAAUAACGCAGGGAAACUUGCGCUAAUACCGAAUGUGCCCUUAGGGGGAAAGAUUUAUCGCCAUUAGAGCGGCCCGCGUUGGAUUAGGUAGUUGGUGUGGUAAAGGCGCACCAAGCCUACGAUCCAUAGCUGGUCUGAGAGGAUGAUCAGCCACACUGGGACUGAGACACGGCCCAGACUCCUACGGGAGGCAGCAGUGGGGAAUCUUGCGCAAUGGGCGAAAGACUGACGCAGCCAUGCCGCGUGAAUGAUGAAGGUCUUAGGAUUGUAAAAUUCUUUUAGCAGGGACGAUAAUGACGGUACCUGCAGAAAAAGCCCCGGCUAACUUCGUGCUAGCAGCCGCCGUAAUAC